UACAGAGGUCCCAAGCGUUGUUCGGAUUCACUGGGCGUAAAGGGUGCGUAGGCGGGUUUUUAAGUCAGAGGUGAAAUCCUGGAGCUCAACUCCAGAACUGCCUUUGAUACUGAAAGUCUUGAGUAUGGGAGAGGUGAGUGGAACUGCGAGUGUAGAGGUGAAAUUCGUAGAUAUUCGGAGGAACACCAGUGGCGAAGGCGGCUACCUGGCCCAGU
rnacentral:rRNA from 1 species